CUUCACCGAGCCGAGCAGCAGCGGGGUCGCGCGGUCCCGCCCGUAGGUGGCCAGCACCGCCUGUGCCUC
rnacentral:antisense_RNA from 1 species